AUUGAACGCUGGCGGCAGGCCUAACACAUGCAAGUCGAACGGUAACAGGAAACAGCUUGCUGUUUCGCUGACGAGUGGCGGACGGGUGAGUAAUGUCUGGGAAACUGCCUGAUGGAGGGGGAUAACUACUGGAAACGGUAGCUAAUACCGCAUAAUCUCUUCGGAGCAAAGCUGGGGAUCGUAAGGCCCAGCACUGUGAGAUUAGGCUGCGUUGGAUUAGCUAGUUGGUGGGGUAAAGGCCUACCAAGGCAACGAUCCAUAGCUGGUCUGAGAGGACGACCAGCCACACUGGGACUGAGACACGGCCCAGACUCCUACGGGAGGCAGCAGUGGGGAAUAUUGGACAAUGGGCGAAAGCCUGAUCCAGCAAUGCCGCGUGUGUGAAGAAGGCCUUCGGGUUGUAAAGCACUUUCGUUGGGGAAGAAAAAGCCAAAGAUAAUGCCUUUGGAAAUUGACGUUACCCAAAGAAGAAGCACUGGCUAACUCUGUGCCAGCAGCCGCGGUAA
rnacentral:rRNA from 1 species